GGUUAAGCGACUAAGCGUACACGGUGGAUGCCCUGGCAGUCAGAGGCGAUGAAGGACGUGCUAAUCUGCGAUAAGCGUCGGUAAGGUGAUAUGAACCGUUAUAACCGGCGAUUUCCGAAUGGGGAAACCCAGUGUGAUUCGUCACACUAUCAUUAACUGAAUCCAUAGGUUAAUGAGGCGAACCGGGGGAACUGAAACAUCUAAGUACCCCGAGGAAAAGAAAUCAACCGAGAUUCCCCCAGUAGCGGCGAGCGAACGGGGAGGAGCCCAGAGCCUGAAUCAGUGUGUGUGUUAGUGGAAGCGUCUGGAAAGGCGCGCGAUACAGGGUGACAGCCCCGUACACAAAAAUGCACAUGCUGUGAGCUCGAUGAGUAGGGCGGGACACGUGGUAUCCUGUCUGAAUAUGGGGGGACCAUCCUCCAAGGCUAAAUACUCCUGACUGACCGAUAGUGAACCAGUACCGUGAGGGAAAGGCGAAAAGAACCCCGGCGAGGGGAGUGAAAAAGAACCUGAAACCGUGUACGUACAAGCAGUGGGAGCACAGAGCAAUCUGUGUGACUGCGUACCUUUUGUAUAAUGGGUCAGCGACUUAUAUUCUGUAGCAAGGUUAACCGAAUAGGGGAGCCGAAGGGAAACCGAGUCUUAACUGGGCGUUAAGUUGCAGGGUAUAGACCCGAAACCCGGUGAUCUAGCCAUGGGCAGGUUGAAGGUUGGGUAACACUAACUGGAGGACCGAACCGACUAAUGUUGAAAAAUUAGCGGAUGACUUGUGGCUGGGGGUGAAAGGCCAAUCAAACCGGGAGAUAGCUGGUUCUCCCCGAAAGCUAUUUAGGUAGCGCCUCGUGAAUUCAUCUCCGGGGGUAGAGCACUGUUUCGGCAAGGGGGUCAUCCCGACUUACCAACCCGAUGCAAACUGCGAAUACCGGAGAAUGUUAUCACGGGAGACACACGGCGGGUGCUAACGUCCGUCGUGAAGAGGGAAACAACCCAGACCGCCAGCUAAGGUCCCAAAGUCAUGGUUAAGUGGGAAACGAUGUGGGAAGGCCCAGACAGCCAGGAUGUUGGCUUAGAAGCAGCCAUCAUUUAAAGAAAGCGUAAUAGCUCACUGGUCGAGUCGGCCUGCGCGGAAGAUGUAACGGGGCUAAACCAUGCACCGAAGCUGCGGCAGCGACACUGUGUGUUGUUGGGUAGGGGAGCGUUCUGUAAGCCUGUGAAGGUGUGCUGUGAGGCAUGCUGGAGGUAUCAGAAGUGCGAAUGCUGACAUAAGUAACGAUAAAGCGGGUGAAAAGCCCGCUCGCCGGAAGACCAAGGGUUCCUGUCCAACGUUAAUCGGGGCAGGGUGAGUCGACCCCUAAGGCGAGGCCGAAAGGCGUAGUCGAUGGGAAACAGGUUAAUAUUCCUGUACUUGGUGUUACUGCGAAGGGGGGACGGAGAAGGCUAUGUUGGCCGGGCGACGGUUGUCCCGGUUUAAGCGUGUAGGCUGGUUUUCCAGGCAAAUCCGGAAAAUCAAGGCUGAGGCGUGAUGACGAGGCACUACGGUGCUGAAGCAACAAAUGCCCUGCUUCCAGGAAAAGCCUCUAAGCAUCAGGUAACAUCAAAUCGUACCCCAAACCGACACAGGUGGUCAGGUAGAGAAUACCAAGGCGCUUGAGAGAACUCGGGUGAAGGAACUAGGCAAAAUGGUGCCGUAACUUCGGGAGAAGGCACGCUGAUAUGUAGGUGAAGUCCCUCGCGGAUGGAGCUGAAAUCAGUCGAAGAUACCAGCUGGCUGCAACUGUUUAUUAAAAACACAGCACUGUGCAAACACGAAAGUGGACGUAUACGGUGUGACGCCUGCCCGGUGCCGGAAGGUUAAUUGAUGGGGUCAGCGCAAGCGAAGCUCUUGAUCGAAGCCCCGGUAAACGGCGGCCGUAACUAUAACGGUCCUAAGGUAGCGAAAUUCCUUGUCGGGUAAGUUCCGACCUGCACGAAUGGCGUAAUGAUGGCCAGGCUGUCUCCACCCGAGACUCAGUGAAAUUGAACUCGCUGUGAAGAUGCAGUGUACCCGCGGCAAGACGGAAAGACCCCGUGAACCUUUACUAUAGCUUGACACUGAACAUUGAGCCUUGAUGUGUAGGAUAGGUGGGAGGCUUUGAAGUGUGGACGCCAGUCUGCAUGGAGCCGACCUUGAAAUACCACCCUUUAAUGUUUGAUGUUCUAACGUGGACCCGUGAUCCGGGUUGCGGACAGUGUCUGGUGGGUAGUUUGACUGGGGCGGUCUCCUCCUAAAGAGUAACGGAGGAGCACGAAGGUUGGCUAAUCCUGGUCGGACAUCAGGAGGUUAGUGCAAUGGCAUAAGCCAGCUUGACUGCGAGCGUGACGGCGCGAGCAGGUGCGAAAGCAGGUCAUAGUGAUCCGGUGGUUCUGAAUGGAAGGGCCAUCGCUCAACGGAUAAAAGGUACUCCGGGGAUAACAGGCUGAUACCGCCCAAGAGUUCAUAUCGACGGCGGUGUUUGGCACCUCGAUGUCGGCUCAUCACAUCCUGGGGCUGAAGUAGGUCCCAAGGGUAUGGCUGUUCGCCAUUUAAAGUGGUACGCGAGCUGGGUUUAGAACGUCGUGAGACAGUUCGGUCCCUAUCUGCCGUGGGCGCUGGAGAACUGAGGGGGGCUGCUCCUAGUACGAGAGGACCGGAGUGGACGCAUCACUGGUGUUCGGGUUGUCAUGCCAAUGGCACUGCCCGGUAGCUAAAUGCGGAAGAGAUAAGUGCUGAAAGCAUCUAAGCACGAAACUUGCCCCGAGAUGAGUUCUCCCUGACCCUUUAAGGGUCCUGAAGGAACGUUGAAGACGACGACGUUGAUAGGCCGGGUGUGUAAGCGCAGCGAUGCGUUGAGCUAACCGGUACUAAUGAACCGUGAGGCUUAACCUU
rnacentral:rRNA from 12 species